rnacentral:misc_RNA from 1 species
ACACUCAUUCUUCGCUUGUCAGAGCGUUCGAAGUGAUUUCUCGGUGUGUGCGUUUGGUGAACAUUAAUAAUAGAGUUUCAUAAAAAAAAAAUGAUGAAAUACAAUCAUAGCCAUUUUUUUGGAAUUCUUUGUUUUUAAUUUAUCAUUUUGAAACUUCAACACCCUUCACCUCCAAGGAUGAUCGAUGACCAGUUUCAAUGUUUCAUAAUUAUUUACUUGGAAUCUUCAUGCACGGACAAUCCUACUACAUUGAUGAAAGAAAAAAGACUUCCCCAAAAAACCCAAAACCGACGGAAUCCUGUCUUCUUGGACGAGAAACUCCAAUUAUUUGUUUGGAUUACCAGGUGCAUUCGACAUAGCGAUAGAUUACGAGUUGACAGUAAGGCAGUACAAAAGACAAGAUCGGACCCCCGAUUUCUUCUGUGUGUAGCUAAAACGGCCAGAUUUACGCUGGGACGAUAACACGCACCUGUCGGAAAAUCCACGCACGUGCCGGCACGAAGAACGGAUCAACUGAACUCUCGACUAGAUAUGAAGAGACGGUGAUUAUAGGAAACGAACCUAAUAAAACCAACACAGUUGAUAUUCCUUUUGAAAUGGUCAGGUUUCUUUCCUAUUUAAUUUUUCCAAAGUGCACUUACAGUUUUUUUUUUACCAUGGAAAAGGAAGAACAUGUCAUAUUUUUGCUAUUUUACAUUGAUCAUUAUAAUUUUCCACUCAUUCGUGUGUAAUAUUUUUUUAACCUGUUUAACCUAUUCUUGCUCCUUGUAUGUUUGUACAUGUAUAAUUUUUGUUUUUUAACCUUUAUUUUUAAUUUUUUUCUCUUUCUCCGUCCAAUACAUCACUUGAACCUACAAACCAACCAAUCAUUAUCUUCGUUAUAUAACAAUCUCGGACCAUGUCAUUUUGAUAAUCGUAUUCAAAGACCAUGAUUUCAUUGUAGAUAUUUUUACAUAUGUCUAUCACAAUUUUUAUACAAAGAAUCCAAGUGUGUUUGUGUGUUGACUUGGUUUUUCUUGAGAUUAAAUUAUAUAUGUUGCA